UACGGAGGAUGCGAGCGUUAUCCGGAUUUAUUGGGUUUAAAGGGUGCGUAGGCGGGUUAUCAAGUCAGCGGUAAAAUCGUGGAGCUCAACUCCAUCCAGCCGUUGAAACUGAUGAUCUUGAGUGGGCGAGAAGUAUGCGGAAUGCGUGGUGUAGCGGUGAAAUGCAUAGAUAUCACGCAGAACCCCGAUUGCGAAGGCAGCAUACCGGUGCACAACUGACGCUUAGGCACGAAAGCGUGGGUAUCGAACAGG
rnacentral:rRNA from 1 species